rnacentral:pre_miRNA from 1 species
AUAUGUUUCACCUAGGGAUCUUGUUAAGCAGAAGAUUCUGAAUGAGGAGGACAGGGGUCUGAAAGUCUAAGUUUCUAACAAGAUCCUUGGUGAUCUGAUG